CGUCGCCCGCUUCAUGGAGGUCAAGGCCGUCAUGACUGAGCGAUUAUCUAAUCUGGUCGUGCCGCUGCCCCACAAGGACACCGACAUGCGCAUUCAAGAUACCGGCGGCUCUAUGCCUGCAAGGUCUUGCGCAGUUUCCCUGCUGAAUCGUCGGCAGGGUGACGUAGAAAGCACGAUAUCUCC
rnacentral:sRNA from 12 species